rnacentral:rRNA from 1 species
UAGGGAAUAUUGGUAAUCUGGGAAACCGGGAGCCAGCAACGCCGCGUGCGCGAUGAAGGCCUUCGGGUUGUAAAGCGCUUUUUAAAGGGAUGAGGAAGGACAGUACCUUUAGAAUAAGCCUCGGCUAACUACGUGCCAGCAGCCGCGGUAAAACGUAGGAGGCGAGCGUUAUCCGGAUUUACUGGGCGUAAAGCGUGUGCAGGCGGUUUGAUAAGUUGGAUGUGAAAGCUCCUGGCUUAACCGGGAGAGGUCGUUCAAAACUAUCAGACUAGAGAGUGGUAGAGGGAGAUGGAAUUCCGCGUGUAGUGGUGAAAUGCGUAGAUAUGCGGAGGAACAUCAAUGGCGAAAGCGGUCUCCUGGCCCAUUUCUGACGCUCAGACACGAAAGCUAAGGUAGCAAACGG